rnacentral:rRNA from 1 species
CCUACGGGGCGCUGCAGUGAGGAAUAUUGGUCAAUGGCCGGAAGGCUGAACCAGCCAAGCCGCGUGAAGGACGAAGGUGCCAAGCAUUGUAAACUUCUUUUGUCAAGGGAAAAAAUCAGACUCGAGAGCCUGACCGAGGGUACUUGAAGAAAAAGCAUCGGCUAACUCCGUGCCAGCGGCCGCGGUAAUACGGAGGAUGCGAGCGUUGUCCGGAUUUAUUGGGUUUAAAGGGUGCGUAGGCGGACUGUUACGUCAGCGGUAAAACCCCGGGGCUAAGCCCCGGCGUGCCGUUGAAACUGGCUGUCUUGAGAUGUCGAGAGGUAUGCGGAAUGCGCAGUGUAGCGGUGAAAUGCUUAGAUAUUGCGCAGAACUCCGAUUGCGAAGGCAGCAUACCGGCGGCGAUCUGACGCUGAGGCACGAAAGCGUGGGUAUCGAACAGGAUUAGAUACCCUAGUAGUC